CAGUGGAAAGCGGGCCAGGAAGCAGAGGUCCAGGUUCUAACUCUGAUUCUAUCACAAAACACUGCACCCAAAGCAACCAUGCAGCUUCCGAAGACCUCAUAUGUUCUCAUUCUGUCACCCAGGCUGGAGUGCAGUGGUGCAAUCUCAGCUCACUGCAACCUCUACCUCCUGGGUUCAAGCGAUUCUCCUGCCUCAGCCUCCUGAGUAGCUGGGAUUAGAGGUGCACCACCAUGCCCAGCUAAUUUUUGUAUUUUUAGUAGAGAUGGGGUUUCACCAUGUUGACCGGGCUGGUCUCGAACUCCUGAACCUCAAGUGAUCAGCCUGCCUCAGCCUCCCUAAGUGCUGGGAUUACAGCCAUGAGCCACCACACCUGGUGAACAAAUUUUUAAGGAAAAGAAGAAAGGCAAAUUAUUGACCUCGGCUUUCACCUUAACAAACUAGAAAAAUAAGACCAAAUGAAACCUGAAACAAAAAGGAGAAAAGAAAUAAUAAAAAUCAGAGUUGAAAUCAAUGAAACAGAACAGAAAAUAAUAGAGAACAUCAAUGAAAGGGAAUGUUAGUUCUUGAGAAAAUUGUUAAAUUUAUAAAUUCUAGUUAGAUUGAUCAGGAACAAAAGAGAAAAUAACAAUGACCAUUAUCAUAAAUGAAAUGGAUAACUUUAUUACAGAUUCUACAGAUAUUUUUAAAGUCUGAGGCACACACCUUUAAUAUAAAAACAGUUUUUAGUUCUGUCUAGGGAGGUAAGAUCUCAGGAAAAAGAAACGAAACAUCAAUAAAAGCACUUUUGCUCUGUUUUACAAAAUUGAAAAUCAAUCCUGUGCCUUGUCCGGGUUGUUUUAGGUACGCGAGUGUAAAACUGUAUGGUACCCACUGUAAUAGAUGAAGUCCAGCUUUACACUGUAUUCUGAUCAUGUGCUUAUGGUUUCAUCUGUGGGGUCCCCAGGACCCCUGCACACCGUAGGUGUGCACUAAACGUUGAGUAAGUCAAGACAGUUGGCACUGUCUUCCUAAUGUGCACUAGACUUCUGUAAUGACACAAAAGUCACCACCUGGAAUCCACGUGGGUUUCUGUGUCCUCCACCAAAUGUUCACCAAGCACUCCUCUGUGCAAGGCCUGAAACAACACAGAGGACAGAGAUUUGGGACUUUGAGUUAAAAUGGGAGUUAGAUGAGAUUUUGGACUUAGAGUUGACCCUAGAAGACUUAAGACCUUGGGGAACGUUAGGAUGGGGUGAAGGCAUUUCGCCUGGGGGAAGGACAUGAAUGUGGAGGAACCCGAGUGUGGACUGUUAUGGGUUGACCAGGAUCCUCAAAAACGAUGUUAAAGUCCUAACUCUCGCUACCUGUCCUUCUGGCCGUAUUUGGGAAUGGGGCUGUGCAGACGUCAUGAGUUAAGAUGAGAUCACACUGGAGAUCAUGGUAGGCCCUAAGCCAAUACGAGGGGUGUCGUUAUGAGCAGAGGGAAAUCCGAACACAAUACAGGGAAAGGGAAAA